CAUGCAAGUCGAGCGGUAACAGGCGUAGCAAUACGUGCUGACGAGCGGCGGACGGGUGAGUAAUGCUUGGGAAUCUACCCAGUAGUGGGGAAUAACUAGCCGAAAGGUUAGCUAAUACCGCAUACGUCCCUUGCCCUUAUCGGGCAAGGGGGAAAGCAGGGGACCGGAUCUUCUUCGGAAGAUUGGCCUUGCGCUGUUGGAUGAGCCCAAGUCGGAUUAGCUAGUUGGCGGGGUAACGGCCCACCAAGGCGACGAUCCGUAGCUGGUCUGAGAGGACGACCAGCCACACUGGGACUGCGACACGGCCCAGACUCCUACGGGAGGCAGCAGUGGGGAAUAUUGGACAAUGGGGGAAACCCUGAUCCAGCGACGCCGCGUGUGUGAAGAAGGCCUGCGGGUUGUAAAGCACUUUUAGUGGGGACGAAAAGUCUCGGGCGAAUAUCCCGGGAUCUUGACUUAACCCAAAGAAAAAGCACCGGCUAACUCUGUGCCAGCAGCCGCGGUAAUACAGAGGGUGCGAGCGUUAAUCGGAAUUACUGGGCGUAAAGCGCGCGUAGGUGGUUUUGCAAGUCGAGUGUGAAAGCCCUGGGCUCAACCUGGGAACUGCAUUCGAGACUGCAUGACUCGAGUAUGGGAGAGGGCAGUGGAAUUUCCGGUGUAGCGGUGAAAUGCGUAGAUAUCGGAAGGAACAUCAGUGGCGAAAGCGACUGC
rnacentral:rRNA from 1 species